rnacentral:rRNA from 1 species
AUUGAACGCUGGCGGCAGGCUUAACACAUGCAAGUCGAACGAGUGGCGGACGGGUGAGUAAUGCUUGGGAAUCUGGCUUAUGGAGGGGGAUAACGACGGGAAACUGUAGCUAAUACCGCGUACCAUAGGAUGAGCCCAAAUGGGAUUAGGUAGUUGGUGGGGUAAUGGCCUACCAAGCCGACGAUCCCUAGCUGGUCUGAGAGGAUGACCAGCCACACCGGAACUGAGACACGGUCCGGACUCCUACGGGAGGCAGCAGUGGGGAAUAUUGCGCAAUGGGGGCAAGCUGAUGCAGCCAUGCCGCGUGAAUGAAGAAGGCCUUCGGGUUGUAAAGUUCUUUCGGUGAGGAGGCGUUACCCACAGAAGAAGCACCGGCUAACUCCGUGCCAGCAGCCGCGGUAAUUC